UACGUAGGGUGCUAGCGUUGUCCGGAUUUAUUGGGCGUAAAGGGCGCGUAGGCGGCUACGCACGUCCGUUGUGAAAUCGCUCGGCUCAACUGGGCGGGGUCAGCGGAUACGGCGUAGCUGGAGCAAGCUAGGGGGCAAUGGAAUUCCCGGUGUAGUGGUGGAAUGCGUAGAUAUCGGGAGGAACACCAGUGGCGAAGGCGGUUGCCUGGAGCUUUGCUGACGCUGAUGCGCGAAAGCGUGGGGAGCGAGUCCGG
rnacentral:rRNA from 1 species